rnacentral:rRNA from 1 species
UACGGGGGGAGCAAGCGUUGUUCGGAUUUACUGGGCGUAAAGGGCGCGUAGGCGGCCAGCACACGUCAGUUGUGAAAUCUCCGGGCUUAACUCGGAAAGGUCAACUGAUACUGUGCGGCUAGAGUGCAGAAGGGGCAACUGGAAUUCUCGGUGUAGCGGUGAAAUGCGUAGAUAUCGAGAGGAACACCUGCGGCGAAGGCGGGUUGCUGGGCUGACACUGACGCUGAUGCGCGAAAGCGUGGGGAGCGAACGGG